AUAAUGGUACUUCUAAUAUUAAAAUAGCUUGCCGUGAAAGUCGGGAAGAGGUGAAAAUCCUAUGA
rfam:Enterococcus phoeniculicola ATCC BAA-412 genomic scaffold acvKl-supercont1.6, whole genome shotgun sequence.